GGGGAAUAUUGCACAAUGGAGGAAACUCUGAUGCAGCGACGCCGCGUGAAGGAUGAAGUAUUUCGGUAUGUAAACUUCUAUCAGCAGGGAAGAAAAUGACGGUACCUGACUAAGAAGCCCCGGCUAACUACGUGCCAGCAGCCGCGGUAAUACGUAGGGGGCAAGCGUUAUCCGGAUUUACUGGGUGUAAAGGGAGCGUAGACGGCACGGCAAGCCAGAUGUGAAAGCCCGGGGCUCAACCCCGGGACUGCAUUUGGAACUGCUGAGCUAGAGUGUCGGAGAGGCAAGUGGAAUUCCUAGUGUAGCGGUGAAAUGCGUAGAUAUUAGGAGGAACACCAGUGGCGAAGGCGGCUUGCUGGACGAUGACUGACGUUGAGGCUCGAAAGCGUGGGGAGCAAACAGGAUUAGAUACCCUGGUAGUCCACGCCGUAAACGAUGACUGCUAGGUGUCGGGUGGC
rnacentral:rRNA from 1 species